GUUGCGAGCCAUAUCGGAGCUGUCAGAUGUUGCGCACAGCCUGCAGUCUACUGUCAGACUACCCAGACGAACCCAGCAGACAAACAGCUCGGAAGAUUAACCUAUUUGAGCCUCGAGAUUAGAGAAACUAGUUUUCGUCUUCAGACCCGGACGCCUGCUUUUAAUUACAAGAUAUUUUCUUUUUGUCACAUGGCUUUGGAUAAUUCAAAACAACAAAAAAUGGCGACACUCACGUUGCACUGUGUGGUCUUGCUGCGUCAUAAAACAUAUUCAUGUAAACACGAGGAGUUAAACGGGAAAAUGUCAGGGCCCUGAGCAGCGGGGAUAAUGGAGUUGUUUACAUGAAGUGAGGAGGGCGGACUGGCGAGGAGGAGGAGACGCUACGUCGGCCAGAGACGCCACCGGACUGCACGAGAGGCUGCUCGUGCGGAGGGGGGCGGAGCCUGUGAGGGGAAUCAUAACAAGUCUGACGUCACUCGGCCUUGUGGUUGGUAUGAAUAAUAUACUGUAGUUUGUCUCGAUCCAGUCUUAGCAGGAAAGAGGCUCAGAAAAAAAGUAUUCGUACCCCUAGUUAUUGUAUGAGAUGAAACAUUAACGAGCCCUCUGUGUACCAAAAAAAAGAAUGAAAAUAUGUUCACUUGGAAAUAGUUUGCGAAAUAAUUUAACACGAUAGCAUGCUUAAUACUGUAAAGCAAUCUUUGUCCUCCAAAUGUGCAAGUAUUGUAUAUUUUGUUUAAAUCACAGGUUCACAGCCAAUAGGCCAUAGGGUAGGCUACACAUUGCAUGUGUCUAUUCAUAACUGCCCAACCUUUGCAGUUAGAAGUUUCAUCAUAAUGAACAUCAGAGUCUGUUUUUGAAGUACCAAAUGAAUUGUUGUGCUAAAAGAACAUUUACCACAAUAGACCAAAUACUUGUGUAAAAUACAACCUCAUGUAUCAGGCCUGAUUUAAGGGCAAAAAAUAGCUUUUUCCAUUCACUUGAAUGACUCACUGAUUAACCAAUAUCUCUGUUCAUAAAUAAAGGAAUCCUGGAUAAUCAGGAUCAUUAUUAUCCUGCAUAAAGACUGUUUUUUAAUGUUCCCAUUAUCAAACUAUGGAGAGUAGUUGUUGUAUGUUUUUUACUCUACUUUGAAAAACAUUUUUAUAGUGGUAUUAUUAUAUCCCCAAACAUGAUAUUGCAUUUUUUUUUAAUAUUCUGUGCUGCUGAUCACUGAUGGGAAGGAUAUUAAUAAAAACGUUUUUACACACAUAGAAGGAUUGUUAGGUUAGAUGUCCCUGUGACUCUGUAGACUAAUCUGUUCUUAUAUUAGCUAUUGUAUAUUAACUGAACAGCAUUUAUAUUGUAAGAAUUACAUGAUGAAGAUACAACAUGCGAGGAAACCAAGGACUGCUAGAAUAGUCAGGCUUCCCUGGUUCAGUUAUCACAGUGCUGAUGCUGUCCCCAUCAAAGGUACAGUACUGUGAUAACUGAAGGAUGGCUGCCAACUUGACACGAGUGCAGUUAUUCAAACCGCGUGCAGCUAACCAGCCAGAGGACCAAUGACCAAUGAAGUGUGAGUAUGUUAAUAAAGAGACAUAUUUGUUUUCAUUGUUAAGUAUCCAAAAGUACUAAUGUGAUUUAUUCAAAUUAUGUUUUUCCUUAUUAAAUCUGCCAGUAGACUGUUGCAUGCUUAAAAAAGUAUUUUAUUGUCUUAUUUUUAAGUUUAAGAAGCAUUAUACUCAAAACCUAUAAAUGUAUAUUAUCUUCACUUUUUAUGUAACUUUUGCUCAACUCAAAUAAAUAAAUAAAUGUUUGUUUUCAUUAAA